AAGAGUCACAUUUCUGUCCUGUGAAUCUCGUCUAGAAUUCUCGGACUCCUUCCUCUUGCAAAAACACCGCUUAGAUCAUCUCAUUCAAGAAAGCCUCUGUCCACCUGAAAAGUGCAUAUUGGCUCAAAGUCUCCAGUGCUCAGAACUUUGAGAAUCUUCCUAUGCCUUCCAGCAGCAUCCAUGCAGGUAUCAAGGAGGCCCCCAGCCAAUGGCUGACCAAGAUGAUAUUAAAAGGAUUUGCCUAUUUCCACUCCAAACAGGAGCUGCUUUAAGGAACAAUAUUUGCUCUGAAGACUGUCCAUUGGACUGGCUCAGAAUUUUUGGGGCCAGGGUCAUGGUCUCAUUGUUGGCGUUGCCCAAUUCUACCUAUUUUUCUUUCAUUUUUUUCACAAGUGUUACUACCCAAUAUAAUUUUGCAAUUGUGUUUUUCCUCAGACUUUUUGGAGUAUAAUCGACAAAUAAAAAUUGUGUAUACUCAGGGUCUAUAGUGUGAUGAGGUGAUAUCUACAUACAUUGUAGUGAUGUGUAAUGAUUACCACAAUCAAAUUGACCAACUCAUCUGUCAUCAAACGUAGAUAUCUUGCCUGUGUGUGUGCAUUUAUGUGUGUAUGGUGAGGAUACUUAAGAUCUUCACUGUUAGCAAAUUUCAAGUAAAGAAUGCAGUAUUAUUAACUAAGUAACCACACACUACAUUAGAUCUCCUGUACUUAUUCAUCUUAUAACUCAAAGUUUGUAACCUUUGAUCAUCUCCCCAUUUCUUCCAAACCCGAACUCCUGGUAACCAUCAAUCCACUCUCUGAUUCUGUGAUUUAGACUAUUAAACUCCAUAUAUUAGAGACAUAAUACAGUAUUUGUCUUUCUGUGGCUGGCUUAUUUCACUUAGCGUAAUGUUCUUUACAUUCAUACAGGCAGGAUUUUCUUUUUUUUUUUUUUAAUGGGUGAAGAAUGUUUCAUUUCACACACACACACACAAACACACACACAAUGACAUAUCAUAUAUAUAUAGUGUGUUUGCACAUAAAUAUACACAAUUUUAUUUAUAUAUUAUAUAUAUUUUUUAUCCAUUCAUCUGUUGCGGACACACAGGUUUCUGUAUCUUGACUAUUGGGAAUAAUGCUACAAUGAAUAUGGGGUGCAGAUAUCUCUUUGAGAUACUAAUUUUAUUUCUUUUGGAUAUAUACCUAGAAGUGGGAUUCCCAAAUCAUAUAGUAGCUCCAUUUUUAGAACUACUAAAUUCUCAUGCUAGUUUAAUCUUUUGAGGAACUUGCAAACUGUUUUCCAUAAUGGCUGUUCCAAUUUACGUUCCCACCAACAAAGUAUGAAGCUUCUCUUUCCUCCACAUCCUUGCCAACACUUGUGAGCUCUUCUUGUUUAUUACAGCCAUCCUAACAAUUGUGAGGUAAUAUCUCAUUGUAGUUUUGUUACAUUUCUCUGAUAAUGAGUAAUAUUGAGUACCUUUUUGUAUACCUGUUGGUCACAUGUAUGUCUUCUUAAAGAAAAUGUCUCUUCAAUUUCUUUGCCCAUUUUUAUUGGUUUGUUUCAGUUUUGUCAUUGUUUGUUUUUCUCUUGAGUUGCAUGAGUUCCUCAUAUAUUCUGAGUAUUAACUCAUAAUCAGAUUUAUGGUUUCCAAAUAUUUUCCCCCAUCCCACAGGCUAUCAUUUUAUUUUGUUGGUUGUUUCUUUUGCUCUGCAGAAGAUUUUUAUCUGAUAUAGUUCCAUUUUUCUACUUUUGCUUUUGUUGCCUAUGCUUUUGAUGUGAUAUCCAAAAAAUCACUGUCAAGAACAAAAUUAAGGAGCUUUUCUUUCCUACUUUUUAUUUGGGGGUUUUAUGAUUUUAGAUCUUAUAUUUAAGUCUUUAAUCCAUUUUGAGGUGAUUUUUGUAUAUGCAGUUGGACAAAUGUCCAAUUUUAUAUUUUUGCAUAUGGACAUCAGUUUUUGCCAAUAUAAUUUAUUAAAGAGACUAUCCUUUCCCCUAAUAUAUUCUUGGUGUCAUUGUCAAAGACUGGUUGACUCUAUAUGCAUGAGUUUAUUUCUGUAUUCUCAAUUAUGUUCCACAUGGUUCUAUGUCUGUUUUUAUGCUAGAACUGACUGUUUUGAUUACUAUAACUUUGAAAUAUCAUUUGGCAUUAGAAAGUGUGGUGCUUCUACCUUUGUUCCUAUUUCUCAAGAUUUAUUUGGAUGUUUGAGUUUUUUUUUUAUUCCAUGUGAAUUUUAGAAUUUUUUUUUUCUAUUUCUGUAAAAAAUCUUUUUGGAAUUUAAUAAAGAUGCAUUCAACCCAUGAA